CAAAAGUGAGACAGGCAGAGAGCUGGAACAGAGAAGUGACCCCUUGUGAAGGAGGAGCUGAUCCAGGCACAACCCAGUUGGAAACUGGUACAAAGAAAGCUCCAGGGAGCAGCAAGGCUCCUGCAGAGACCCUGAAAAACCAAGAGAGCACCUGAAGAGCAGCAGAGGAGGUUUGCCCCUUGACCUCUUUGAACCAUGGAGAGUUGGAAAAGCAGGCAAAGGCUGGGGGAAGAAUUCCAGGCACUGGAGUUUGAGAGUUAAGAGAGAUCCCAAUGGCUCUUUAGUUGAAGAUAAAUACAUUACCGUUGACAUGUUCAUGAAGUCUAGGACUGUGACAAAGGAGAAUGACAAGCAAUAGACACCUUCAGCCUCUUGAAUCAGGUUUAUUACAUUCCGUAGCCCAGGAUUGAACUGUUCCAUAACAUUCUGAUGAUCAGAAAAAAAAGCCACAUUAUAACAAAGAAAACUCAGUGCACGCAUGUGUCUAGAGGUCCCAGCUGAACCAGGAACCCAUUGUUUGAAGCAUUAUACAAACAAACAAACAAACAAAAGAAAUGGUCCCUGCCUUGAAGAGCAUCAUCCAAAUAGACAAGACCACACAAUGCCUUAGGGCUUGUCUUCAUGUACUGUGCCGCUGUAGUGCUUUAAUGAAGGGACUACUAUGCCGAUGGGAGCGCUUCUCCUGUUGGUACAGUUAAUCCACCUCUAUGAGAGGCAGUAGUUAUGUCGACGGGAGAAGCUGUCCUGCUGACACAGUGCUGUCUAGACCAGGGGUUAGGUCAGUAUAACUACAUCGCUCGGGGUAUGGAUUUUUCACACCCCUGAGCAACGUAGUUAUAUCAAUAUGUUUGUAGUGUAGAUGUGGCCUUAGUUUUCACCAGCGGGAGUGUAAAUUCUAACAUGCACUAGUGUGUCACAAACUAACUGGCUUAUGUGGACCCUCUGGCAUGCACUAAAAGUCCCCCAAUGAAAUGGGACUACAUUUCACAUGCAAAGAGUACUACAUUAAUACGCACUAUAGAUCUUUUAGUGAUUGCUCCAUGGGCCAGUGAGUGUGCAACAAGCACAAAGGAUGGGAAAGGAAGCAAAUGAAGUGACAAAACCCAAGUCACCUACAUGUUAGUCCAGUGCCCUAUGCUCUGGUACCACAGUGCCUCUUAUCUAUUCAUAAAAAUACUUAACUAGAAGAGAACAAUAGGCAUAUAAUCAGCUCAUACAGCUUUCUGAUCUUUAGGAUAAAUGGAAAUUAAGAGGAAACACCUAUUCAAA